GUAGGUGAACCUGCGGAAGGAUCAUUACUGAAGAAGUCUCUGGCGCAAGCCGAGAUGAAUAUCCUUCAACACUCUCACUGUUUGUGAAAGCUGCAGAGCGGUUAAAAACUUUGCAUGUGGAAACGGCAGUGUGAUUUUACCUUCUGGUAAAAACAAAGUCUGAUUACAAAACAUAACAAACCAAAACUUUCAACAACGGAUCUCUUGGUUCUC
rnacentral:misc_RNA from 1 species